UACAGAGGGUGCGAGCGUUAAUCGGAAUUACUGGGCGUAAAGCGCGCGUAGGCGGCUCGCAAGUCGGAUGUGAAAUCCCCGGGCUUAACCCGGGAACUGCAUUCGAGACUGCGUUGCUAGAGUAUGGGAGAGGGAGGUGGAAUUUCAGGUGUAGCGGUGAAAUGCGUAGAUAUCUGAAGGAACAUCAGUGGCGAAAGCGACCUCCUGGACCAAUACUGACGCUCAUGUGCGAAAGCGUGGGGAGCAAACAGG
rnacentral:rRNA from 1 species